AAGGGUCACCCGACCUACACCCGACUCUUCUCCUUCUCUCUCUGUAAACACUUGCUCUUCGCCUUCUCUACAAUCUUAGCAUUUCUAUUAGAAGGAAGUAAGGAAGAAAAGUUGAAAGGAAGAUGCCGACGGAAGGGACGGCUAACUGCAUCGAUAUCCUUCUCGCCAUCAUCCUUCCACCCCUCGGAGUUUUCCUUAAGUUUGGCUGCAAGGUGGAGUUCUGGAUCUGCUUGUUGCUGACGCUGUUUGGGUACAUCCCUGGAAUCAUAUACGCCGUCUACGCCAUCACCAAGUAAUUAAAUUCAGGUAGUGGAGAUGUUGGUGAUGGCAGUAAGGUGCAGCCAUCUUGGAUUUCCGAAAUGACCGUUGGAUUCUUCUUCCUCUUCGACUGAUUCCUGGCGUCCAUGGGAUGGGAUGAUUAAUCUGUUCUUUAUUUUGUCAAAUUGUUGCCGUUUGUAUUAUUUUUAUUUCCGAGAUUUUUUCUGUAUGUUUGUGGUGAGCUGUGUGAUGAACUGAUUGUGGUCUAUUCGGUCCAGUAGGAAAGUUUUAUUAAUAUUAUCAGUAAAUAAAACUUUAAAUUUGGAAGAAAA